rnacentral:rRNA from 1 species
AUUGAACGCUGGCGGCAUGCCUUACACAUGCAAGUCGAACGGCAGCACGGGGGCAACCCUGGUGGCGAGUGGCGAACGGGUGAGUAGUGCAUCGGAACGUGCCCAGUAGUGGGGGAUAACUAGUCGAAAGAUUAGCUAAUACCGCAUACGACCUAUGGGUGAAAGCGGGGGAUUCGCAAGAACCUCGCGCUAUCGGAGCGGCCGAUGUCUGAUUAGCUAGUUGGCGGGGUAAAGGCCCACCAAGGCUUCGAUCAGUAGCUGGUCUGAGAGGACGACCAGCCACACUGGGACUGAGACACGGCCCAGACUCCUACGGGAGGCAGCAGUGGGGAAUUUUGGACAAUGGGCGCAAGCCUGAUCC